GUGUAACGAGUAUUUAACCCGUCUUGUAGGGGAAGAUGUAUUAGUGCUGCCACGGAAGACUGAAUAACGAAAAGAUCUUAGUCUCCGCUUCCAGUGCUUUUAGUCUCACUACACACUAAUUGUAUGUAUGUUGUGUUCUACUUUAUUGGAAUGUACAGACCGACGAGGGUAGGCUUCAGCUUAAGUAAUGUCACUGGCUUCCUGAAGUAAAAGUAAAAGGUGUGAGAAAAUCUAAUAUACUCCUCCCUCCUCUGGUCUAAUAAAGUAGCUGAGACGCCCCUACUCCUUGACAGCUCUAAACAAAAAAUACAAUGAGGUAAGUAUGAAAAUUAAACAAUAUUUAUUAUCUGUGUCUUUUCUUCUUUCUUGUAAUCAAGUGUUAAUUAAGGGUUAAUAAAAUAAAAUAGAGUAAAUAAAAUAAAUAAAAAAAUGUAUGGUCUUUGUGUUUUCUUUCAAACCCAGUACAACCCAAUCACUUUCAAUGUAAAAACUCUAAACUUUUUUACUUGUACAAAGAUAAACCCCACUUCAAAAUAAAAUAAAAAAAACACUUUUCUAAACACCACUUAUGAUGAAUUUUAAGUUUUCAAAAUGAUCAACUUCGAAUGAUCAGACAAUCACAUUUGAGGAGAAAAACAACAUCAAUAUAUACGAUGCAAUUUCACAUCUGGAAGAGCACUCACGUGAAAUGUCCCUUUAUGUACUCACUCAGUUCACUUUAGGUUCUGUGAUUCAACCGAACUCUCACAGUUCAAAGUUCCUCGGAUCAAAAAAUAUAAAAAAAAUAAGGAAUUGAGAUGAGUUCUUGACGUAGCGUGCGUUGAAAUUAUCUUGAGAUUUCGUAGCAAUGUCACUCAAGCUCAAUGAAAUGUCCCACAAAAAAAUGAAUCAAAAAUGAGUCGAAAGCGAAUGAAUCAAACUGAGGUGAAUCAAAAAUGAAAUGAACCAACAGGGAUGUAUUAAACUGCGAUACACCACUGAGAUGUCAAACUGAGAUGUCGUUGGAUGGCAGGGUAACACAAAAUAGUCUUAAACUCAAAUCUUCUGGAAACCCCCCCCCCCGAUGUUCAGCACCAACUGCAGACAGCAAUUUGCAUCUCACGUGCGAUAACACGUGCCGAACACAAAAAUGCGCGUGACCAAACUUCCUGAAACGUUAGUUUGUACGAGUGCUUCUCAAUCAAGAUGGAAAAAGUCCAAAACUUAAACAAAAAUGUGGAGGAAGAAAAAAAAUAAAAUCUCUUCAAUCGUCACUAAUCAAGCUAAACUUGUAAGUUAAAUACACUCACAGUUCUUGUAGCCUUCACAAACAUUACUGCGUCACUCCAGCAGUCCAACGCAAUGCGAUUCACAGAUCAAAACUCACAAAAAAACUACGAAACGCGGGACACAGCUCACAAAAAUUACUGCGUCACUCCAGCAGUCCAACGCAAUGCGAUUCACAGAUCAAAACUCACAAAAAAACUACGAAACGCGGGACACAGCUCACAAAAAUUACUUGAUGUUGUCCUUUAUUCGAUCUAAGCCCCGAUUAACUUUCGUUUAAGUCACUUUAUCGGACGAGCUUCUCAAAUACAACACUCACUUUUUCUGUGUGUCACACAUACACCCGCGUUCUUCUUCUCCUCGCUGACUCUCAUCGCCGAAAACCAAUCCGCCCGUCAAAAUAAAAGUCCCCCAAAAUAAUAAUGAUUUUUUUAGAUAAUAUACACCCGUUACA
ensembl:lncRNA